AAAGCAGGGGAUCGCAAGACCUUGCGCUUUUGGAGCGGCCGAUGUCUGAUUAGCUAGUUGGUGAGGUAAAGGCUUACCAAGGCUUCGAUCAGUAGCUGGUCUGAGAGGACGACCAGCCACACUGGGACUGAGACACGGCCCAGACUCCUACGGGAGGCAGCAGUGGGGAAUUUUGGACAAUGGGGGCAACCCUGAUCCAGCCAUGCCGCGUGAGUGAAGAAGGCCUUCGGGUUGUAAAGCUCUUUCAGCCGGAACGAAAAGGUUACGGUUAAUACCCGUGACUAAUGACGGUACCGGAAGAAGAAGCACCGGCUAACUACGUGCCAGCAGCCGCGGUAAUACGUAGGGUGCGAGCGUUAAUCGGAAUUACUGGGCGUAAAGCGUGCGCAGGCGGUUUUGUAAGUCAGAUGUGAAAUCCCCGGGCUUAACCUGGGAACUGCGUUUGAAACUACAAGGCU
rnacentral:rRNA from 1 species